AACGUAGGGGGCGAGCGUUAUCCGGAAUCACUGGGUGUAAAGGGUACGCAGGCGGAUUUGUAAGUUGGAUGUAAAAACUCAGGGCUCAACCUUGAGCUUGCAUCCAAUACUACAAGUCUAGAGAGCAGGAGAGGGGAGUGGAAUUCCCGGUGUAGGGGUAAAAUCCGUAGAUAUCGGGAGGAACACCAAUGGCGAAGGCAGCUCCCUGGGCCUGUACUGACGCUCAUGCACGAAAGCGUGGGGAGCAAACAGG
rnacentral:rRNA from 1 species